UUAGUUAUUUCUUAAUAUACACAUGCAAGUCUCCGCAUCCCUGUGAAAACGCCCUUAAACCCCUACAAUGGGUGAGGAGCCGGUAUCAGGCACAAAACAAGCCCAAGACACCUAGCUAUGCCACAUCCACACGGAAAUUCAGCAGUGAUUAACAUUGAAUAUAAGCGCCAGCUUGAAUCAGUUAAAGUAAAAAGAGCCGGCAAAUCUGGUGCCAGCCGCCGCGGUUACACCACGUGGCUCAAACUAAUUUCCUCCGGCGUAAAGCGUGAUUAAAGUCUAUUGUUUACUGCAAUUAAACCAAAACUAGGCCGUGACACGCUUGUCCUUAGGAAACCCAAAACGAAAGUCAUUGCACGCCCCAACUUGAAUUCACGACAGCUAGGAAACAAACUGGGAUUAGAUACCCCACUAUGCCUAGCCGUAAACUUUAAUUUACCCCCUCCACCCGCCAGGGUACUACGAGCAAAGCUUAAAACCCAAAGGACUUGACGGUACCCCACAUCCACCUAGAGGAGCCUGUCCUAUAAUCGAUAACCCCCGCUUUACCUCACCAUUUUUAGCUUAUUCAGUCUGUAUACCUCCGUCGUCAGCUUACCUCGUGAGCGCUAACUAGUGAGCCCAACGCCUUUACGCCAACACGUCAGGUCAAGGUGCAGCAUAUGAAAUGGAAAGAGAUGGGCUACACUGUCUAAUCUAGACAACACGAAAGACUAUUUAUGAAAUCUAGUCAGAAGGAGGAUUUAGAAGUAAAAAAAGACCAUUGUGCUUUCUUUAACUUGGCACUGGGGUGUGUACACACCGCCCGUCACCCUCUUCAAAGCUCUAAUAUAGUCUCUAACACAAUAUACUAAACUAGAAGAGGUAAGUCGUAACAAGGUAAGUAUACCGGAAGGUGUGCUUGGAACAAA
rnacentral:ncRNA from 1 species